rnacentral:rRNA from 1 species
UACGUAUGGUGCAAGCGUUAUCCGGAAUGACUGGGUGUAAAGGGAGCGUAGACGGUUGAACAAGUCUGAUGUGAAAGCCCACGGCUCAACUGUGGGAGUGCAUUGGAAACUGUAGAACUAGAGUAUCGGAGAGGCAAGUGGAAUUCCUAGUGUAGCGGUGAAAUGCGUAGAUAUUAGGAGGAACACCAGUGGCGAAGGCGGCUUGCUGGACGAAAACUGACGUUGAGGCUCGAAAGCGUGGGGAGCAAACAGG